UGACCCCCCUGUUUCUGUGUGUGACCUGGUAGUGUUUGCCUGUGUGAUGCCUCACAUAGAGCCUAAGCACUCAAAGCGGGUUAAUUAUUACACAACAUAAAUUAGAAAAAUUAAAUCGGACGGUAGGUUGCGCCCCGUAACAGCUAAAAAAGUCAUGAUGGGAGUACUCCUGUCACAUGAUACCUAAGUAAUACACAAUGAACUUACGACCCGCUACUAAUCUCCAAUAAACACUACUUUUAGAAUCACAAGAAUUACCGAGACAAUUCUUCAAAAUAUCGAAGAAACAGUAUACCAAAAUACCGUCAGCGCGGUCAGCGCCCUCUGUCUUCUCUCCUCCCAACCAUAUUGCACGGCGACGGCGUUUAUUGCGGCCUUGCGAGGUUUGUGUACGCAAAAAAGUUCAUUUCGUGCCGAAAUUGAACAAAGCUUCACCUGAGACGAUGCCAGGUAUCUGCUGUAAUGUUCGGGGAUACACCAAGUGUGCUCUUUGGACAAGGGACGUUGUGUACCACAAGAUUCCAAUGGAAAAUGCACGGAAACGAAAGUUGUUGCAAGCGCUUGGUCAAGACGUUCGUGAGCCACGCCGUAUUUGCUCAACCCAUUUCUCUGACGACUCGUACGAAAUGGUAGCAGCGGAUGGUCGAAAACUUCUCACACGGACGGCAGCCCCGACCCCGACACCAGUGUUUCAACAUGUGACGUCUGAGGAUGCGAACACCAGUGCAGAUGAGCGACACAGGCUUCCAUCGUGACUGACAAGAAUGUGAAACUCAGAAGUAAAAGGGUGUCAACGCAUGAUUUACCGUCAACACCUCUCAACCUUUAUCCAGUGAUGAAUUCAACAUCUAUGGUCCAUACACACUCAUGCUCACAGGUGCAUGAUAUGACGAUAUCUUCACCACUGGUGGAACCAGCUGUUGAGUCAUUCUGGAAAUCUGAAGACAACAGUUUUGAAUGGCCUGCUGAUACAAGUUUGCAGAUACCAAAAUAUCUUCUACUUUGCAGUGUUGUGCCCUCUGGUUCACCAGACCAGAAGAAGUACAUCAAAUGUGCAUCAUAUUCAGAACUUCCGGUGCAUCUCACAAAGAGGCCACUGAUGUUCGCGUCACGCUUCUCACCACAAAAGCAGAGUGCCCAAGUGAACACAACAACGUCGGCCAGAAGUCAACAAGAUGGCUGCAGGGAACAUCCUGCUGUCCUGCACAAUCCUUUUCAAUGGGACCAGUGUAGCCAAGGUGUGAAUUCAUAGUGCCUUAUGUUUUCACAGAUUCAAAUGACACCUUGUAGUAUUUGCUGUUGACCAGUUCUGUGGUUACUCGAGCUAAUUAAU